UCAAAUCUACCACCUAUCCAUAUCCAAAAUUAAUGUCAUAAAUUAAAUGCGGUAUUCAUUUCAUGGGUCAGACCAUUGCCCAUUUGUUAUCUUUUGUAAACCUCUAACUUCGAAAUCUUGGCAUUUCAUCUCAAACUUUCUUUUGCUAUAUCUCUCAGUCACUCUUCGUCUAUUGACAUUUCUUUGGUGAUGGCUGGGUUUUGUAAUGAAUUGGUAUUUUGUACGCCCAAAAUCUGUUUUGUUAGCUCGUAAGUAGAAUAGAAACUGAUCCCAAGCUUCGUUUGGGUAUUUGGGUUUUCUGUUCCCUUGGUUUUGUUUGGAUCGCUUGGAUUUCCUUUUACUUAAAUUAAGAAAAGGAAAUAUCUGGGUGUAACAAUGAGGUGGGAGAAGAUAGAGUUGAGCAGCAGAUUGAGAGAAGCUCUAGAUGGGAAGAAAUCUCCAGGUAGAAAAGGUGGGAUUUUUGGACCUGGAAAGAGGUGGGGCCAUUCAUGCAACGCGGUUAAAGGGGGGAAAUUUCUUUAUGUUUUCGGUGGCUAUGGCAAGGAUAACUGCCAGACCAACGACGUGCAUGUCUUUGACACUGUUAGGCAGACAUGGAGUAAGCCAAUGGUGAAAGGCAUCCCACCUUCUCCAAGGGACAGUCACAGUUGUACGACUGUCGGAAACAGCCUCUUCGUAUUUGGUGGUACCGAUGGGAAGACCCCACUCAAGGAUUUGCAUAUUCUAGAUACUUCAUCCAAUACAUGGAUGACCCCAAGCGUAGUUGGUGAGGGACCAGAAGCACGUGAAGGACAUAGUGCAGCACUUAUUGGGAAACGACUCUUCAUAUUUGGAGGCUGUGGGAAAUCAUGGAAUGGUUCAACUGAAGUGUAUUAUAAUGAUCUUUACAUACUAGAUACGGAGACAUUUAUGUGGAAACAUGCUCUUACGUCGGGAACUCCACCUUCUGCACGUGAUAGUCACACAUGUUCAUCUUGGAUGAACAAAAUAAUUGUGGUCGGUGGUGAAGAUGCGUCUGAUUAUUACUUGUCUGAUGUUCAUAUCCUCGACACAGAUACCCUUGUUUGGAGGGAACUAUAUACUUCAGGCCAGGUGUUACCUCCUCGGGCUGGACACUCAACUGUUGCUUUUGGCAAAAACUUGUUUGUUUUUGGAGGAUUUACUAAUGCCCGAAAUCUUUAUGAUGAUCUUCAUAUGCUAAAUGUUGAGAGUGGUAUUUGGACUAAAGUGAUAGCAACAGGACAAGGACCCUCUGCCAGAUUUUCUGUAGCUGGGGACUGCCUGGAUCCACAAAAAGGUCUUAUUGUGUUCAUAGGUGGUUGUAACAAUGAGCUUGAGGCCUUGGAUGAUAUGUAUUACUUACACACAGUAGAUUUGUCAGUGGAAAAUGGACAAGAUGAAGAAGGUCAAGAGAAGUUUUCACUCAGAAAAGAAUUACAGAAGAAGUGCCAAGAACAAUAUGUUCCUGCAAGCCUACCAAUAAUCAGUAAAGAUGUGCCCAAACUUGGAGUGAUGCCUGAUAUGUCCCAGCCCAUGCCUUUGCCAUGUUUUAAAGAAGGAAUCAACUUAAGGUAUAUCAAAAGAGAACCAAAGCUGCUCCUAUGCUUAUUUGGCAUCACUAUGGUGAUGUGGGGUCCACAUGGAAGCUUGGUUAGCAGUGGAUCAACUUGGGAUGAUCCUAGAGUCUUCAAUCCACCUUAAGAUGUUCUUUCUGUGGUUGAGUUUGCUGCUGGACAGGACUUAAUUGAUUUUCAUACAUUUCUGGACAGCAAGGGUAUUUUUGUAAUUUUGCAUGUGUAGAAGCUAUGUUUGGGGAAAGCUCUUAGCAUAGUAAUUUCCCUUUGUAUGGCUUUAUGUCUGUAAUGGCUUGGGGCAGGUUUAGUCUAAUCUAGCUUCUUUUUGUAAGUGGCUUGUUGGGCAAGCUAACUUGGGAGGCAAGUUUCCUCCUUUGGAAGUUUCUUUCUUAUUUUGUAAGGCUCAUUUGAAGAACAAUUUUUGACUAAUGAACAAAGAAGUUCUCUACAGAAUUUGGUGUGAUUGUCCUCACCCUUAGGUAUGAUUGCCUAGGGAUUUCAUCUUUAUUUCCAUCUCUUCUCUUCUUUCUUUGACUGUGUUUGUUACCGUGGUCAUUUAUCCGAUAAACAGUGCCACAUAGAUGUUUCCGUUUAUCAGGGCGAGUUGUGCUGUUUGGUUGGGGCUCUUGACGAAAAAAACAGCAAUAAACGUCCACACCUCGGUUUUCUGAGCACUACUGUUUUGGGCAAUGGUAACGCCCCCCAAUACCCCAUUGCCAAUGGCUCGUUGAUGUGGAGCCAAUGUGGAUCUCACAUGUCUGCUGACAUGCGGUAGAUCACAGUUUACACUUGUUGGUGUACAAGUGUUAGGUUAAAGUUUUGUUCGUUGUUUCCUUCAUUGGACAUCCGCCCACCGCUGCUACUCAUCACUGUCAUUACUCGUCGGAUUCACAUCACCAGUGAGUUUCUUGGGUUAAAACCCCAACAGAUCUCUUUCUUCAUUAGUUGGAUUUGAUUUUGAAGUUUUUUUGUUCAAUUUUUCUUCUCUAAGCCAUCAGCCCUCCGCUGCUACUCGUCACUGCUGUUGAUCCUCACUGGAUUCACAUCGGUGGUGAGCAUUUUGAGUUAAACACCUGCCGCUUCUCUUUUCUUCAUAUACUUCUGUACUUUCGGCUAAAAUAAUAAUAUCAGAAAUUUCCAGACAUCCUUCUCCAAUGACGGUGACCACUGCGCAUGUCACACAUUAUAGCAAGUUUGCAACGUAUGCAAAACACCAGUUAAAUAACACUUCCAAACAGCCUGCAGUUGCGUUUUUGCCUAGGUGGCAUUAAUGUUUAUUUAUUUGCACCAAACAACACGUCCAAAUAUGGGUUGAGUGUGGGCAUUUAUUCUCGAAAAAUGGGGUGAUAAACGCCCACUUUACCAAACACCAUCUUUGUUGGUUGCAAGAAUAGUACUGAAUCACAAAGAUCCUGCAUCACUCCCUUCCACCAAAGUUGAUCUUCAUCUGUUUAUCGGGGUUUAACCUUCUCCACUAACUGCAACAUCCUGGUUAGGGGCUCACAUCCCAAUCAUUGACAGGCCUUCUCAACCACGGGGACCAGACUUCCAUUUGCUAUCAGCUCAUAACAAUAGCAUUCACUGAUAUUCACUUGGUUAUUUUCAGCGAGGACAUAGAUUCUUGGGAACUCUUACCUCAAUGAUCUGUCUUUCGGUGGGAUGACAAAGACAAACAGACUCUUCCAUUGAAUGACUUUACCCGUCUUGAAGAAAAGAUGUUUGAAGCUAAGGUUACUGAUGUUCUUAAUUGUG